GACGAACCACACAAACGUUAUUCGGAAUUACUGGGCUUAAAGGGUGCGUAGGCUGCGCAGUAAGUUGGGUGUGAAAUACCUCGGCUCAACCGAGGAACUGCGCCCAAAACUACUGUGCUUGAGGAAGAUAGAGGUAAGCGGAACUUACGGUGGAGCGGUGAAAUGCGUUGAUAUCGUAAGGAACACCUGUGGCGAAAGCGGCUUACUGGGUCUUUCUGACGCUGAUGCACGAAAGCUAGGGGAGCAAACGGG
rnacentral:rRNA from 1 species